AAUUGUUCGCAAUGGGCGCAAGCCUGACGACGCAACGCCGCGUGGAGGAUGAAGAUUUUCGGAUCGUAAACUCCUGUCGAAUGGGACGAAUAGAUUGCGGGUUAACAGCCCGUAGUCCUGACGGUACCGUUAAAGGAAACCCCGGCUAACUCCGUGCCAGCAGCCGCGGUAAUACGAAGGGGGCUAGCGUUGUUCGGAAUUACUGGGCGUAAAGCGCGCGCAGGCGGUUCUUCAAGUCAGAGGUGAAAGCCCAGGGCUCAACCCUGGAAUGGCCUUUGAGACUAGAGAACUAGGGUACGGGAGAGGUGAGUGGAAUUCCGAGUGUAGAGGUGAAAUUCGUAGAUAUUCGGAAGAACACCAGUGGCGAAGGCGGCUCACUGGCCCGUUACCGACGCUCAGGCGCGACAGCGUGGGGAGCAAAC
rnacentral:rRNA from 1 species